rnacentral:rRNA from 1 species
AGCAGCCGCGGUAAUUCCAGCUCCAAUAGCGUAUAUUAAAGUUGUUGCAGUUAAAAAGCUCGUAGUUGAAUUUCGGGGUUAGUAGGUUGGUCGUGCCACUGGUACGUACUGGUCUCACUGAUUCCUCCUUCCUGAUGAACUGUAAUGCCAUUAAUUUGGUGUUGCAGGGAAACUGGACUGUUACUUUGAAAAAAUUAGAGUGUUUAAAGCAAGCUAACGCUUGAAUACAUUAGCAUGGAAUAAUGAAAUAGGACGUUCGAUCCUAUUUUGUUGGUUUCUAGGAUUGACGUAAUGAUUAAUAGGGAUAGUUGGGGGCAUUAGUAUUCAAUUGUCAGAGGUGAAAUUCUUGGAUUUAUUGAAGACUAACUACUGCGAAAGCAUUUGCCAAGGAUGUUUUCAUUAAUCAAGAACGAGAGUUAGGGGAUCGAAGACGAUCAGAUACCGUCGUAGUCUUAACCAUAAACUAUGCCGACUAGGGAUCGGAUGAUGUUAAUUUUUUAAUGACUCAUUCGGCGCCUUA